rnacentral:lncRNA from 1 species
GACACUUUUUGACGUGGGAGUGAAAAUUUGUGAAACGGUAACGAAUAUCUUUAUAUGUGGGGCAUCAUUGGGACAUGCGGCGUGACGGGGGCACUAGGGGUGUGGAACCACAACAUGGGUGCGCCAUUGGAAGAAGGUGAACGAAGGUCCCUUACGUGACAUAUACGUGGUUCCACUUUUCUUUCCAAUUGAGCCCUAAUAAAUCCCCCCAUAACACAUAGACUAAUGUAUAGAUCUUGGUAG